ACGCUCGACACCUACGGGAGGCAGCAGUGGGGAAUAUUGGGCAAUGGGCGAAAGCCUGACCCAGCAACGCCGCGUGAGGGAAGAAGGUUUUCGGAUUGUAAACCUCUGUCCUCAGGGACGAAGGACGUGACGGUACCUGAGGAGGAAGCCCCGGCUAACUACGUGCCGGCAGCCGCGGUAAUCUGAGCGGGCUGGCAAGGC
rnacentral:rRNA from 1 species